rnacentral:rRNA from 1 species
ACACGCAUGACACACCGCAUAUCAAUAAGCGGAGGAAAAGAAACUAACAAGGAUUCCCCUAGUAACGGCGAGUGAAGCGGGAAGAGCUCAAAUUUGAAAUCUUCAAGGGUUUCCCUUGACGAAUUGUAGUUUAAAGAAGUGUUUUCUGUUAGAGAGGUGGUAAAAGUUCUUUGGAAUAGGACAUCAUAGAGGGUGAGAAUCCCGUAUUUGAUCACUUUCUACUAACGUUGUGAUACACUUUCAAAGAGUCGGAUUGUUUGGGAAUGCAGUCCAAAAUGGGUGGUAAAUUUCAUCUAAAGCUAAAUACUUGGCGAGAGACCGAUAGCGAACAAGUACCGUGAGGGAAAGAUGAAAAGAACUUUGAAAAGAGAGUUAAACAGUACGUGAAAUUGUCAAAAGGGAAGCGUUUGACACCAGUGUUGUUUUCUCGAAAAUCAAUUACGAAUGUUUUAUUUUUGAGGAGUUAUGACUUCAUCGGCUUGCUCCUUUCUUUAUGAAACUUUCUUAAUGCACUUUUCGGUUAACAAGUCAACAUCAAUUUCUUUUGUUGUAAAAGGGUAUGAGGAAGGUGGCUUUCUUUUCGGAGAAAGUGUUUAUAGCCUUGUGCCUCUGCAAUCGGAGAGAUUGAGGUCUGCAGCGUAGAUCCUUCGGGGUUAGAUACAUUUGUGCUAAGUUAUAGCUUUUCAUAGACAACUUGUUGACUAUGUUUAGUCUUGUAGCUUACUCGCUGACGCUAUUUUACCUACGCUUAGGAUGUUGAAGAUGUAGCACAUCAU